UACAGAGGGUGCGAGCGUUAAUCGGAAUUACUGGGCGUAAAGCGUGCGUAGACGGCUAUCUAAGUCGGGUGUGAAAGCCCCGGGCUCAACCUGGGAAUUGCAUUCGAGACUGAAUAGCUAGGGUACGGUAGAGGGAAGCGGAAUUUCCGGUGUAGCGGUGAAAUUCGUAGAUAUUCGCAAGAACACCAGUGGCGAAGGCGGCUCACUGGCCCGAUACUGACGCUGAGGCACGAAAGCGUGGGGAGCAAACAGG
rnacentral:rRNA from 1 species